rnacentral:rRNA from 1 species
CCUACGGGAGGCAGCAGUGGGGAAUCUUGCGCAAUGGGCGAAAGCCUGACGCAGCCAUGCCGCGUGAAUGAUGAAGGUCUUAGGAUUGUAAAAUUCUUUCACCGGGGACGAUAAUGACGGUACCCGGAGAAGAAGCCCCGGCUAACUUCGUGCCAGCAGCCGCGGUAAUACGAAGGGGGCUAGCGUUGCUCGGAAUUACUGGGCGUAAAGGGAGCGUAGGCGGAUAGUUUAGUCAGAGGUGAAAGCCCAGGGCUCAACCUUGGAAUUGCCUUUGAUACUGGCUAUCUUGAGUAUGGGAGAGGUAUGCGGAACUCCGAGUGUAGAGGUGAAAUUCGUAGAUAUUCGGAAGAACACCAGUGGCGAAGGCGGCAUACUGGCCCAUUACUGACGCUGAGGCUCGAAAGCGUGGGGAGCAAACAGGAUUAGAUACCCUGGUAGUCCACGCUGUAAACGAUGAGUGCUAGUUGUCGGCAUGCAUNCAUGUCGGUGACGCAGCUAACGACAUAAGACACUCCGCCGUCGGGGAGGGUACGGGUCGGCGAAGUAAGUUAAAACGUUAAAAGGUUAAAGUUAGUUACGGCGUGAGACGUUGCCGAACGGACGACGACGAGGGGAGGAGG